rnacentral:rRNA from 1 species
UACAGAGGUCCCAAGCGUUGUUCGGAUUUACUGGGCGUAAAGGGUGCGUAGGCGGUUGAAUAAGUCUGGUGUGAAAGCUCAGAGCCUAACUCUGAAACGGCAUCGGAUACUGUUCAACUAGAGUUUGGGAGGGGAGACUGGAAUUCUCGGUGUAGCAGUGAAAUGCGUAGAUAUCGAGAGGAACACCAGUGGCGAAGGCGAGUCUCUAGACCAAUCCUGACGCUGAGGCACGAAAGCCAGGGGAGCAAACGGG